AUUUCUUCCUCCUAGGGAACAGUCAUGGCAACCAUUCAGAAAGCACUGCUGAUCUGAUGCGGCAGUUGUACCUGCUCCUCUCCUCCGGGGAACUGAUGGUGAAUGAUAAGGAAGAGCCUUGUUCCGCAGAGACCCCAGCUCCAGUGAACAGCAAACAAGAUGGCGAAGAUGCAAGAUGAGCUUUCAGGAGAGAAGAGUGCUCGCUGGCAGAUGGGACUCCCCUGCGGCAGUAGUUCCAGCCAGAAAAUGCCAAUCAUUUAUUAGAAGGGUCGGGGCAGGAACUAGAACUAAAUUUGCUUCUCAGUCCCAAACCUGAGGGAGAGACUCUUCAGGAUAGAGACAUCAAGGAACAGACCUUCAAAACUAGGACCGGGUUUCAUCUCUCAGGAGGAAUGGGACCACUGAGCAAGAAGAGGCAACAGCCUUCCCCGUGACAGCUUGGUUCACUCGCUUUGAUCACUUUGGUGAGUGCCUGCCAAAAGAAGAUGUUUGUCAUGAUCGCCAUCACAUCUACAUCUCAAAUUAGACCCUUGAGUAAAAACAGUUUGUAAUUGGAAUGUCCCAAUUGUCUUUUUUUUUUCUUCCCAUUUAUACAACCCUAAACUCUGUGUCGCUGGUUCCCAUAGGACCCUGAGAUUACAUUUAGCACCCGUUACCUAUAGUCAGUGGGUUUUCUUUACCAGGACAUUUAUAGAGUAACAAAUUCAUAACAAAGAAAGGGGAGGAGAAGCUGCCUUGUGAGCUACCCGCUCGUGCUGGGAACACUUGUUUUCUAUUUUAGUGUGCUUUGCAUUGUGUGGACUUGAGUUUUGCUGCCAAAGAAAUCAUGCCAACAUGUGAACCUGGAAACAGAGCUAUUCUCAAACAGUGUAUCAAAACAGACUCUAAAACAGAAAAAGAACAAGACAAUAACAACAACCCCAAGUCUGACCCAGAAACUUAUUCUGUGCAUUCUUAUUAACUGUAGUCUCACUCAGCCCAGGAAAGCACAUUAAACCUACUUAGGAAACACACAUACAGGACAAGACAAAGCAGUAGUGAAUUUGUUAUACACUCGGUCAGUUUAACAUGGAGUAUGCAGGCAGUGGAGUACUGUUUAGGCAUAAAGAAGAGUAAAGUCAUGUGACUUGUGGGAAGAUGGACAGAACCGUAGGCGUUCGUGUUGAUUGACAUAAGCCGGCUUCAUAUGUCUUCUCCCAUACGUGGAAUUCCAGGACUGGGGGAUUAAGAGGAUGAGAAAGUAAAGCAGAUUUGGAGGGGAGAGGGGAAUAAAAGGAGACUCAGAGGAGGUGAAUGUUAUCAGAGUGUUUUACAUGCUGUCUGGAAAUGGCAUAAUGAAACCCAUUAUUUUGUACAAUUAUUAUAUUCUAAUAAAAUCACUUGAUUUGGUUAAGGCAACAAGUAGUUGCCAAACCAAUGAGCAUGUG
rnacentral:lncRNA from 1 species